AACUAGAGGAAACUCUAGCUAAUGCCGGAUGAGACCACGAUCCCUUCGGGGGUUGCGGCCAAAGAUGGCCUCUACUUGUAAGCUAUCGCUGAGGGAUGGGCCUGCGGGCCAUUAGCUUGUUGGUGAGGUAACGGCUCACCAAGGCUGUGAUGGCUAGCUGGUCUGAGAGGAUGACCAGCCACACUGGGACUGAGACACGGCCCAGACUCCUACGGGAGGCAGCAGUGGGAAUAUUGCGCAAUGGGCGAAAGCCUGACGCAGCGACGCCGCGUGGGUGAUGAAGGCCUUCGGGUCGUAAAGCCCUGUCGCAGGGGAAGAAUAAGCAUCGGUAUAAUACGCCGGUGCCCUGACGGUACCCUGCAAGAAAGCACCGGCUAACUCCGUG
rnacentral:rRNA from 1 species